rnacentral:misc_RNA from 1 species
CAACCCUCAAGCUCUGCUUGGUAUUAGGCUUCACCCUUAGGGGCGGGCUUUAAAAUCAGUGGCGGUGCUAUUCGGCUUCAAGCGUAGUAAUUUUUCUCGCUUUGGAGGACCGGGUGUGUGUUUGCCAACAACCCCAAUUUUUAAA